GGAAGGAUCAUUAACAAAUUAAGGAUUAUCAAUCCUUGAACCCCAUCUGCGUACUCGUACAUGUUGCUUCCGUGGAAUGUUGAUCUUUCGAUCCGCGUUCUCUUUAUUUGAGAUUCCACGGAAGUUAUUUCCAAAACCAUGUUAUUCAAUGCCUGUCAGAGAAAUUGGUUAAUCAUAAAUGUUAAAACUUUCAACAACGGAUCUCUUGGUUCUCGCAUCGAUGAAGAGCGCAGCGAAAUGCGAUAAGUAGUGUGAAUUGCAGAAUUCCGUGAAUCAUCGAGUUCUUGAACGCAUAUUGCGCCUUUAGGUAUUCCUGAAGGCAUGCCUGUUCGAGCGUCAUCAAACAACUUCAAGGUACCUUUAAUUGUGCUUUGGUUUUGGACAUGGAGCAGCAUUGUGCUGUUCCUUGCCAAAUUUAAUAGGCGGAUAUCAUUGAUCCAUUCAGUGUGAUAAUUACUGUUUCACUGCUGGAAAGAUUGCUUCUUGCCUGCACCACAAUAUUCCCUAACCCCAUGACCUCGGAUCAGGUAAGGAUACCCGCUGAACUUAAGCAUAUCAAUAAGCGGAGGAAAAGAAACCAACAGGGAUUGCCUUAGUAACUGCGAGUGAAGCGGCAAAAGCUCAAAUUUGAAAUCAAAUGUCUUUGGCGUUUGAGUUGUAAUUUGGAGAGACAUUUUCGAAGCCAAUGUCAUCCUAAGUUCCUUGGAACAGGAUAUCAGAGAGGGUGAGAAUCCCGUAUUGGAUGGCUGUUGGCUUCAUAUGAAGUGUCUUCGACGAGUCGAGUUGUUUGGGAAUGCAGCUCAAAAUGGGUGGUAAAUGUCAUCUAAAGCUAAAUAACGGCGAGAGACCGAUAGCGCACAAGUAGAGUGAUCGAAAGAUGAAAAGCACUUUGAAAAGAGAGUUAAAGAGUACGUGAAAUUGUUGAAAGGGAAGCGCUCAAGACCAGACUCAAGGAGCAGUGAUCAACAGGGCUCCGGCUUUGUGCACUUGCUGCUCCUUGGAACAGCAUCGGUUCGGAUGGUUGGAUAAAGGCCUGGGGAAUGUAGCUCUCUUUCGGAGAGUGUUAUAGCCCCAGGCGCAAUACAGCCUAUCCGGACCGAGGAAUACGCUUUUGCUAGGAUGCUGUUGAAAUGGUCUUCAGCGACCCGUCUUGAAACACGGACCAAGGAGUCUAACAUCUAUGCGAGUGUUCGGGUGGAAAACCCUUGCGCGAAAUGAAAGUGAACGGAGGUGGGAACCUUUCGGGGUGCACCAUCGACCGAUCCUGAUGUCUUCGGAUGGAUUUGAGUAAGAGCAUAGCUGUUGGGACCCGAAAGAUGGUGAACUAUGCCUGAAUAGGGUGAAGCCAGAGGAAACUCUGGUGGAGGCUCGCAGCGGUUCUGACGUGCAAAUCGAUCGUCAAAUUUGGGUAUAGGGGCGAAAGACUAAUCGAACCAUCUAGUAGCUGGUUCCUGC
rnacentral:misc_RNA from 1 species